rnacentral:rRNA from 1 species
AUAUACAGCCAUAGCACCCUGAGAAUGCCCCAUCUGGGAAGCUAAGCAGGGUCGGGCCCGGUCAGCACUUGGAUGGGAGACCAGCUGGGAAUCCCGGGUGCUGUGGGCU